UGCGGGGAGGUGCCCUGGGGGGCACGGCGCUCUCAUAAGGCGUCCACCAAAGGCGGGUUCGAUUCCCGCCCCCGCGA
rnacentral:tRNA from 1 species